rnacentral:tRNA from 1 species
AGAAAUGUGCCCGAGACCUAAGGGAUUAUUUUGAUAAAAUAAGCACAGACAUAAACCUCUCAUUUCCA